AAAGUCGUAACAAGGUUUCCGUAGGUGAACCUGCGGAAGGAUCAUCAUUGAAUCUUCAAAAUCUAUACACCCUUGUGAACUUGGCAGCCGGGCGGCCAGUCAAUGCAAAUUUGCUUUGGCUAGCAGCACCGGUUGAGCCUUAAUAUUUGAGUGUUCUUGUUGUUGGUGGUUCCAGUGGAAUGCGUUGAUCAGCUUGAUCGAGGCUGCUGUCCGCCAGCUUCAAGGGCGCUUGUUAAACAAAAACGCUAUUAGAACACGAAAGCUAAUAAAGUUUAUUAUAAUUAAACAACUUUCAACAAUGGAUCUCUUGGCUCUC
rnacentral:misc_RNA from 1 species